UCCUGUUAGAACUAAGGAGAGUGAGUCAGCAUUUCCAGCCUUGUUCUUGGGUUAGAUCUUGAUUUCCUAGUCAGAACUCCUUCCUCAACAGAGAAAUUGUAAGGAAUUUUUAUCUUGAUUUUGUACAGUAGGUUACAAUGAGAGGAAAAGAAAAGAAGAGAAUGGGAGGAGGAGGAAAAUGAGUACAAGGAUGUGUAUGAGAAGAGCAAGGGAAGGGAUGAAGUUUAGUAGGAAAGAGAGAAAAUACUUCUUGGAGAUUGCCCCUUGGGCAGAAGUAAAAAGAAUUUGAAUUGAGGAAUUAGCCACCACUCAACUGCCAUCUCACCUUGGAUCUUCACUCAGCACCUGGGACCUGCUCAUCCUAGAACAUCCAUCUGCCUCAGUGGCCUCCUCAGCCUGGAAUAUCCCUCUGCCAUCACAGAUGUGCAGAUCUAUGUCAGGCCUACAAGGAAAUUCAGUGCAGACUGUGAACUAUGGACAACAAAGGAAAUCUCAUAAAGUCUUUUCCCAGACAGCCAGAAUCCCUCUUUACUAUUUGUGAUGGACCCGCUUCUGU